rnacentral:rRNA from 1 species
CUUGGUCAUUUAGAGGAAGUAAAAGUCGUAACAAGGUCUUCGUAGGUGAACCUGCGGAGGGAUCAUUA